CUUAAAUUGUUAUUAUUUAAGCAAUACAUACUCAGUGAAGACAAUGAGAAAAUGCUGACAGCACAAAAAAGUCCUCUCACCCAAAGAUAACUCUUACUAAUAGUUUAGCAUAUGUUCUUCCCUAAAUUUUUCAGUACAGUCGUGUGCCGCAUAACAUCGUUUCGGUCAAUGAUCCACCAUGUAUCUGAUGCUGGUGCCGUAUAGCUGAGGUGUGCGGCGGGCUAUUCCAUCUAGGUUUGUGUGAGGGAGCUGGUGGAUGGUGUCCUGUGGCAGAGGGAGGAGCAGGAGGGGGAUCCAGUCAAGACACAGUCUCCAGAAGUAGCCUGAGCCAAGGAGCUGCUUGCGUGGCUGAGGACCCUGAGGUGGUUCAUUUAUCUGAAGACUCCACAUGAAAGGCAGCCCCCUGUGUCCUGGAGAGCAGAGAAUCACACCCUGUGGAUGGGAUAGGAUGGAACCCCCUGGGCUCAGGCGUGCUCUGUCCACUCUGCCACAGCCCGUCCUUAAGGGACAUCCCGACAUUCGAUGGCUUGCUGGGGGGGGCAUCAAGAGAAGGGGGCUCAGACUGCCAGUGCCCAGACUCCAAGGGCCUCCACUCUCCUCCCUCUCACCCUGAAUCAGCCCCUAGCCCCUCCUGAGUGGAACCCCGUCUUCCCAGCCUGGACCAUUAGAGCACGAAUUCCCCUUCCCAAGACGUGCAUCCUGGAGAAGGGAGAGUCCCCUGGUGUGGACUCUGUCUCCCUUAGGAUGUCAGUCUCUCCCAGCCUCCUGGGCUUGGCCUCUACUUGGGGGAAUCUGGGUCUCAGAAGCUGUGCCUCAGGCCCCUCCUAGCUGGCAAUGUGUAUGUCACACCCACAUCCUGCCCCACCAAGCUGUGUACACAUAUAGUGCACACAAUCCAGGCACUGAGCCUUGUGUGGGGUGAAGAUUUGUCCUGCACAGGGAGGCAGGGUGUAUGGUGAGGAGAGAAGGAAUGCGUGAAAUGUAUGUAGAACAGGGAGAAAUGAGGUCCUCUGGGGACACUGGGAGAGGUGUGGGCAGCACUGAGGGCCCUUGUAGUCUGUGGUUGUGAUGUGAAGGUGGGACUAGCCCUCACUGCACCAGCCUCUGCCCCUUUCCCGGCUGGGGGCAGAUGCGGAGGAGGCAGAGAGUUGGGUUCCCAGGGUGGAUUUCACCUGGCCAGGACCAUGGAAGGGGUCGGUCAGAGCUACAGGACAGGAGCGUGGGGCUGUCCCGGAGCUCAGUGUCUGCAGAGGAAGAAAGGACGUGAUGCAGGGGAAGGAGAGUGAACAUGGAGCCAAGUUUGCAGAUGGGGAGACCCAGUGGCUGAGGAUGAGUGAGGAGAGGGAGCCCACAGUGACUGGGCUGCAAAGACACCACUGGGUGCCGACUGGAAGGGGUUGGCCUGAAAUGGGUUAUCAGUCAUGCUGGAGAGGUUUAUAUGUGUGGAGUGAGGCCAGGGUAGUGGGUGGCAGGGGUUGAGUGAAGGAGGGUGGACAGGGCCCUGAGGGUCCAGGAUGUCAGAAGGAUCAUCUGGGUGGAUGGCAGAGUGACCAAGAAGGGUCGAGUCGCAGUGAUGGUGAAGAGACAGACAGUGAAGACUUAUACAGACACCCGAACGCACACACACAUGAACACACACACACACAGGGACCCUGAUCAGCGCAUAGGAUGCAGUUUGGCCCAAUGGCUGAGCACAGCUGCCAGAGGUGCCAGCCCUUGUGGGCAGCCCCUUCUCUGUGGCCAUGCCACUGUCCCUAAGGUGCCUCCUGCUCUGUGGAGAGCCCCACUCAAGAGCUUCAUCAUCUUCAUGCCCUGAUUAUUCAUCUUGUCCCUGAAGCACUCGAUACCAUGGUCUCUCUCCAGGAUGAACCAGACGUUGAUGGUGGGUUGCCACCCUGGAGGUGACAUGGGUUAGAGCUAUGUUGGACUCCUUGUGGUCUGUGGGGUUGGGGAAGGUCCUAAUGCCUGAAGGAGGAAGAGCAGACGUGGGGGAAACCCCGCUGCAGGGAGUUGCGUGGCCAGGAGGGAUGCAGGCCCAGAUCCCCAGCAGUGCAGAGUGGAGACGGCUGGUGGCCGGCAGGGAGGCUGUCCAACCUGCGUCUCUUUGCUGGCCUCAGGAUCGCUGUCAUCAGCCAAGGCUGCCGGAGGCUUGUUUUCACGAGUUCUCUCAAAUGCUGCAGGAGCUUAGGAGCAGGUGACCUGAACUUGAGACUUCCUGACCUGGUCUCUGAAUGAAAUAAGAGGAGGUGACAGGCUCUGUACCAGCAACUUUUGUGUCCGCUGAGGGUGGGGAUCCUGUGAGGCAGGGGAAGCACAAUUGUCCUGUCCCUGGGCACAAGGCCAGCUGCAGCGAGACAGGUUCACAGGUGGAGGGGUGAUCACGGAAGGGCGUGCCCGGGCUGUGGAAAACGGGAGAAAGUUGGUCCUUGGAUGGGGUGUGGAAAGAACAUGAGCUAUGGGUGGGGAGGAGCCAGGAUGAUUGACAGCUCUGAGCAGUGAAGGAAAAACUGUCUCCCCAAGUAGAGAUCUGAGGUUUCCACAGUACAGUAGGAGCUGAGUCUGUCACAUGGUGGUUCACCCAGAUUCACAGACUGGGUGGUCACCUGGCACAUUCCAGCAAAAGUGCUGCCCCCUGGAAACCAAGGCCAUCCAUGCAGCUGAGCCAGUGGCCACUACCAGAUUUUGAAUUUUGAGGCAAUGAUUCCACAAAGGGCAUUAUAAACAGUUUGCAUCCACUUGCCUUCCUAGAAAACAGGAGCUGCCUUCGAGACCUGUUCUGGCAUUGGAAGCAUCCCAAGUUUCCAGGGGGUGAAUACUGACUUGUCAACCAAAGGGCACGCUCCUCAUUCUCUCAAUGCCCAUCCUGCCUCUUCCAACCCAGGGUUGUGCCACCAUUUUAUCCAUUAAGCCCAGCCCCUGCCUUGUCAGUCCCACCCCAAUACACCAAGGACACUGAACUGGGGUUCUGCAGCAUCUUUGCUG